rnacentral:lncRNA from 1 species
AUGUCACCUUCCACCUCUCCCCAUGUGACCUUCCACCUCUCCCCCAUGUUACCUUCCACCUCUCCCCAUGUUACCUUCCACCUUUCCCCAUGUCACCUUCCACCUCUCCCCUAUGUCACCUUCUACCUCUCCCCUAUGUCACCUUCCACUUCUCCCCCAUGUUACCUUCCACCUCUCCCCAUGUCACCUUCCACUUCUCCCCCAUGUUACCUUCCACCUCUCCCCACCUCUCCCCCAUGUCACCUUCCACCUCUCCCCUAUGUCACCUUCUACCUCUCCCCUAUGUCACCUUCUACCUCUCCCCUAUGUCACCUUCCACCUCUCCCCCCAUGUGACCUUCCACCUCUCCCCUAUGACACCUUCCACCUCUCCCCCCAUGUGACCUUCCACCUCUCCCCUAUGUCACCUUCUACCUCUCCCCUAUGUCACCUUCCACCUCUCCCCCCAUGUGACCUUCCACCUCUCCCCCAUGUCACCUUCCACCUCUCCCCUAUGUCACCUUGUACCUCUCCCCUAUGUCACCUUCCACCUCUCCACCAUGCACCUUCCACCUCUCCCCCCAUGUCACCUUCUACCUCUCCCCUAUGUCAACUUCCACCCCUCCCCCAAUGUGAUCUUCAACCUCACCCCCCAUGUGACCUUCCACCUCUCCCCCAUGUUACCUUCCACCUCUCCCCAUGUCACCUUCCACCUCUCCCCUAUGUCACCUUCUACCUGUCCCCUAUGUCACCUUCCACUUCUCCCCCAUGUUACCUUCCACCUCUCCCCAUGUCAUCUUCCACUUCUCCCCCAUGUUACCUUCCACCUCUCCCCACCUCUCCCCCAUGUCACCUUCCACCUCUCCCCUAUGUCACCUUCUACCUCUCCCCUAUGUCACCUGGUCACCUCUCCCCCCAUGUGACCUUCCACCUCUCCCCCAUGUCACCUUCUACCUCUCCCCUAUGUCACCUUCUACCUCUCCCCCAUGUCACCUUCCACCUCUCCCCCAUGCACCUUCCACCUCUCCCCCCAUGUCACCUUCUACCUCUCCCCUAUGUCAACUUCCACCCCUCCCCCCUGUGA